UACGGAGGGGGCUAGCGUUGUUCGGAAUUACUGGGCGUAAAGCGCGCGUAGGCGGACCUGCAAGUCGAGUGUGAAAGCCCCGGGCUUAACUUGGGAAUUGCGCUCGAAACUACUUGGCUGGAGUGUGGCAGAGGAAGGUGGAAUUCCAGGUGUAGCGGUGAAAUGCGUAGAGAUCUGGAGGAACACCGAUGGCGAAGGCAGCCUUCUGGGCCAACACUGACGCUCAUGCACGAAAGCGUGGGGAGCAAACAGG
rnacentral:rRNA from 1 species